GGUUAGAGGAGGCAGGUAGCCUAGUGGUUAGAGGAGACAGGUAGCCUAGUGGUUAGAGGAGGCAGGUAGCCUAGUGGUUAGAGGAGGCAGGUAGCCUAGUGGUUAGAGGAGACAGGUAGCCUAGUGGUUAGAGGAGGCAGGUAGCCUAGUGGUUAGAGGAGGCAGGUAGCCUAGUGGUUAGAGGAGGCAGGUAGCCUAGUGGUUAGAAGAGGCAGGUAGCCUAGUGGUUAGAGGAGGCAGGUAGCCUAGUGGUUAGAGGAGGCAGGUAGCCUAGUGGUUAGAGGAGGCAGGUAGCCUAGUGGUUAGAGGAGACAGGUAGCCUAGUGGUUAGAGGAGGCAG
ensembl:lncRNA